GUGAGGAAUAUUGCGCAAUGGAGGCAACUCUGACGCAGCCAUGCCGCGUGCAGGAAGAAGGCGCUACGCGUUGUAAACUGCUUUUAACCGGGAAGAAACCCCAGGACGUGUCCUGGGUUGACGGUACCGGAGGAAUAAGCACCGGCUAACUUCGUGCCAGCAGCCGCGGUAAUACGAAGGGUGCAAGCGUUAUCCGGAUUCAUUGGGUUUAAAGGGUGCGUAGGCGGAGCGUUAAGUCAGUGGUGAAAUCCUGCAGCUUAACUGUAGACUUGCCAUUGAUACUGGCGCUCUUGAGUGCGCUUGAAGUGGGCGGAAUGUGCCGUGUAGCGGUGAAAUGCUUAGAUAUGGCACAGAACACCAAUUGCGAAGGCAGCCAUCUGGCCUAAUACUGACACUGAGGUGCGAAAGCAUGGGGAGCAAACAGGAUUAGAAACCCCUGUAGUCC
rnacentral:rRNA from 1 species